CAAUGUAACGUGUUUUGUAUUUAAGUCCUGUCUGCCCCUCGCUCACCGUCGGAUCAUUGCAUGUGUUACUGUCAUGAUGUCUGUUUGGUUUCUGUUCCUGUCUUUGGUAAUGUCACCCUGUCUUUUUGUUCCACGUCUUUGUCGGUCAGUCCUGUUGUUGGUUUUGUUGUACCAUGAUUUUCUUCAAAAAAAAAAUUGUACCCAUGUAUAAUGCGCACCCCAGAUUUUAGGACAAUAAAUUAGUUCAAUUUCGCGCAUUAUACACGGAAAAAAACGGUAGUUAUUGUUGGUGCCUUCUUGUUUUUAUUUUGUGUCGUCUACUUGUAUGUUUAUCGUGUACUGUGUCUCGUCACCGUGGGAUGGAGGAAACGGAAUUUCAGUUUCUUUGUGUGUCUGACAUAUGAAGGGAUUGACAAUAAAGCUGACUUUGAACUUGAAACCAAGUGACGUGUGUAAAAAUGUUUGAGUUUUGUGUGUGUGUGUGUGUGUGCGCGCGCGCGUGCGUGUACGCGAGUGUGUGUGUGUGCGCGCGCGUGUGUGUGUGUGUUCUUCCAUGUCUUGGGGAGAACGCACGGCGCCGUAUUGCUUUUUCUUGAACGUAUAUUUAAUACAAUUGGUUAAAAUUGAAUUGGUGUGAGUCUGAUUUGUGUGAAUAUCUUUGUCCUUAGAAGAAAAAACGAAGUGGAUCAUGGGAAGAUGGCGGAGGGAGUCGACCUGCGAGUAGUAAGCUUUUUUUUUAUUUUUCCCAGGGUUGACACCGAGAUUAAAGGUAAUGCGUGAAAUACGACAAAGGUGUCUGAUUAGUCUCAAAUGAUUCGUUCUGUGUGUACAGCUAUUGGCAUACCUCAUUUUUAAAGUACAAAAAAAAAGUCAAAGUCUGCUUUAUUGUCAAUUUCUUCACAUAUCAAGACACACAAAGAGAUCGAAAUUACGUUCCCACUAUCCCACGGUGACAAGAUAGUACACAAUAUACAUACAAGUAAACAACACAAAAAGUAAAAACAAGAAGGCACAAACAAUGAAUAAAUAAGAGUGAUGAAUAAAUAAUAAAUAAACAAAUAACAAUAAAUAAGAGGAGCAAAACGGAGCAAGUGUGCAUACAGCAGACAGUCAGAAUAUCGCGCAAAAAUACAGGACGCUACGCAGAAGGGGGGGGAGAGUUCAGGAUCGUAACAGCCUGGAGUAUGAAGCUGUUGGUGAGUCUGGUGGUGCGGGAGCACAGGCUCCUGUACCUCUUCCCAGAGGGCAGAAGAUCAAACAAAAAGUGAGCGGGGUGUCUCCCAUCACUCACAAUACAUCAUCUAGAUUUUCAAAUCGUAACUUUUUCUGACCAUGAGUUUCGCCUAAAUCGGUUUGCAGAUGACACAGUUUUCUUCCUGAAGGAUUAAUCCAUUGUUGACAUGGCUUUGCAAAUUAUCUCAGGCUUUUCUAAAGCUUCAGGUUGAAGAGAGAGCAACAGCAUUGUAUACAUGUUCUGUUAGGUUAGACAAUCUCAUGUACGUUUAGAUCAGGGGUCACCAAACUACGGCCCGCAGGCCGGAUACAGCCCACGGGACCGUUUAAUCCGGCCCGCCAACCCUGAACAAAUUGUAUUAUUAAACUUUUUUUUUUGGGUCAUUUUGCCUGCAAUGACUGCGUUUCCCCAGUAAAUGGGGAAGCGCUCGCCUGCGCAUUUACUACCGGAAGCCGUGUCAGAAAGCUCGGUGCACACUCACAAGUGCGUGUACGUACUCAGUAGUACGGACAUGGCGCACUCGCGCUCUAUUUGUAUCAGUCCUGAAUUUAGAGCGUGGGAUGGGACGACAGCAUUCUUGUAAUUCGCGCGCUGAGCUUUCAGAUGCAGUUUUGCGCUAAAGCCACCCACAAACCUUCCCCUGGAAUCCUUCCAUUAAAAUGAGUCGCCCAAGGAAAAGCAAGGUGGACACAGUGCCGAGCGUUUAAAAGAGAGUGGCCAAUUUGGCUCGACGUACGCGACGUGACGUUCAGCCACAUGAACGUCAACAUCAACCCGUCACAUAUCGAGGUAAACGGACCAACACCUCGGAUCUCGCCUAAGAAUUGCCACAACAAAUUUUACUCCAGACUAUGACGCACUAGCAAACUUUAACAAAAAAGACAGCGGUGUCUACAAGCCUACUGGAACCUACAGAAGGAUUAUAAGAACUUUAAGAGACUGCUCAUAUGUGUCAGAGAGAUUCUGCUCUGACAACUGAGCUGAACUUUUAUCUGUUAAGAUUGUGCAUGGCACAACAGAAAGUUAAUGUUCCAUGGCUUUUUUUUCUAUGAAAAACCCAGAGAGAGUUAUUUAGUUCUUAUUUAUUUCCUGUUUUUUCUGUGAAGAACUCAGAGAGGGUUAUUUAGUUAUUAUUUAUUUCAUUAAUAGUGUUAUUAUUUGUUAGGGUUUGCAGAAUAUCUUCAUCGUAUGAUAAUGUUGGAAUGUAACCUGUAAUAAUUUAACUAGCUUGUCCUGUCUAGACAAAAGUAGUUGACCAAAGUGGUAAGAUCUUUUCAACUUAUUGACUAGCUGCAGAGGAAGCAAUCAAAGUUGCUUUGUUUACAGAACGUGGUAAAAGGUCCCCUGCUAUGCUUUGAUCAGCAGGGGACCGUCUUCACCUUAUCCUGUGUGUUCACACACCCCCACUUUCAACCCCACUCUGUUUCUCUCAAUAAAUAAGCGCCUGACGAGGCCUGAGUCAGACUUCAUUCGACCAUCGCUGUAAGCACAGCGACGAGUGAACUCUCCGCCUGCAGGUGUCUAAAAUGACUUGCUUGACUCCUGUGUGGUUCUUGCAAAAUAAGUUAGAGUGAGUACCACCCUAACAUUAUUUGUUUCCUGACUUUUUUUCUGUAAAGACCUGGAAAGGGUUAUUAAAUAACCGUUAUUUGGUUAUGUGUGGCUUUCUGGAAAACAAUAAUUUUUUUAAGCUCCCCUACGAUCGUCACACUUUUUCUGUUACAAACUGACGCCGGCCCCCCAUCAGAGAAGGGAAAAGUUAUGUGGCCCUCAGAGGAAAAAGUUUGGGGACCCCUGGUUUAGAUGCUCAUACCUCUACAAUGUUCUUUAUUAGUUUGUAUAGACAUAACUGCUGAAGGAAUGGGGUCGAAAUACAAAAAGUCCUGCCUAGCUACAAAAACAGAUAUGCUCAAACCUCAUCGAAUAAAGUACAUAAGCAGACAAGUAUAUUCACAUAUUAAAUCAAUAAAAGGCACAUUUUAAGCAUAUAAUUAUACCUACACACCAAAUCAAUAAAGAAGACAUAACUAGACAUUUUUUUAGGGGGUAAUGACAAAGGUUUUUAUAACUUUAUGAUCUGGUAUGUAUUUCUGAGCACUUUAUUUCAAAGUAAGUAGUUGAAAUAAAUGUUUUUUGAUAUAUUGCCUGAAUACCGUUUUUUCUCCAUGUAUAAUGCGCCCCCAUGUAUAAUACGCACCCUAAAAAUGGCAUGUUGAUGCAGGAAAAAAGCCUGUACCCAUGUAUAAUACGCACCCAAAUUUUGACUCCUAUUUAAGUCCGUGAACGUAAAAUUACUUCAGAAAAAAGAUCAUCUUUGGGAACAACCGGAUGUUAUUCUGCCGGUCAGUAUCACUGCGCAUGCGCUAGCAACCUCAAUAGCGAAGAAAUGUUUCGGACUUGUGUAGGGUACGUUGUGACAGCAAACAAGUAGGUGAUCGAGCAAGCGUUAGAUACGAGAGCAUUGUGUUCGUAUGGAGCGUGUUUGAAGUGAACAGCAGAGAAGAAAGCGAAGAUUAUAGGACAAUAAAUUAGUAAAAGUUUGCGCAUUAUACAUGGAAAAAAACGGUAAUGAAUAAAUAAUAUGAGUGAUGAAUAAAUAAUAAAUAACACAAUAAAUAAGAGGAGCAAAACCGAGCCAGUGUACAUAAAGCAGACAGUAAGCAUAGCGCAAAGUACAGGACGCUACGCAGAAAGGGGGAGAGAGUUCAGGAUCCUAAAGGGAAAUGUACUCUCGGCAGUUUACAAACACAUUUGAUCAAGGCUGCGUUAGACACAUAAUCAUAUCAAUAUAAUUUCUAGUAGUAGUGUGGUCGCUUAAUAAGUGGAAAGGAAUGUGCAAACUACAUGAAUUUGUUUUCUUCAAAGUAUUGUGGAACAGGAUGUCCAGAAAGGGAGGAUAUCUCAAGGCCGAUGGGGAACGCGAAAAACAACUCGUCUUUGUGGUCCAGACACCUGUGCUGAGCAGGGGAAAACCCAAACGAGGAGGAGAUGACCAUCAACCAUCGACCAAUCACCACACAAUAUUUUGCAUGCUUGAAUAUUCAUAUUGUGUUUCUUUAAAACUGGGCAACCCGGAAGAAGGUGUUGUCUUUGAUGGUCACGAACGCACACGAGUUUUUGUGUUAAGGACCCGAGGCCCAGGCGCCUGUAUUAGCUUGCUUUGUCAGGAUUAAACAACUGGUAAAUUCGGCCUAAUUGAUCUACUGGUCUUCUCUUUGACAGAACGAACUCGCAAAAUUGUUAGGUGCGACAGUGUGUGGAUUAGGACAUAACAAUUCUUGUGUUAAGUGUUGAUCGCAAUUUGGAGUCAGAUCAAUAGCUAAAAUCCGUAUCCUAACAAUUUCUUGGUGACCCUGACGUGAUGUCAAGAGAAGGGUUAUUGACAACUCGUGGUCUGUGUCCAAGUCACCGGACAGUUAGUCUGGGACAGCUGUCUCCCGGUCGGCGUACCGUGUGGGAAUAAGGAAUAAGCGCACAACAUUGAGCUGGUACGACGUCUCCUAAACCCUGAGCUCAUCAAUGAUAAGGUAAGCAGAAUACCUGUUACUAUAUGUCAAAAUUCUGCAAAUCCAUCCAUCCAUCCAUCUUCUUCCGCUUAUCCGGGGUCGGGUCGCGGGGGCAGCAGCUUCAGGAGGGACUCCCAGACUCCCCUCUCCCCAGCCACUUCAUCUAGCUCAUCCCGGGGGAUCCCAAGGCGUUCCCAGGCCAGCUGAGAGACAUAGUCUCUCCAGCGCGUCCUGGGUCGUCCCCGGGGUCUCCUACCGGUGGGACAUGCCCGGAACACCUCCCCAGGGAGGCGUCCAGGAGGCAUCCUGAUGAGAUGCCCGAGCCGCCACAUCUGGCUCCUCUCAACGUAGAGGAGCAGCGACUCUACUCCGAGUCUCUCCCGGAUGACCGAACUUCUCACCCUAUCUCUAAGGGAGAGCCCGGACAUCCUGCGGAGAAAACUUAUUUCGGCCGCUUGUAUCCGGGAUCUCGUUCUUUCGGUCACGACCCAUAGCUCGUGACCAUAGGUGAGGGUAGGAGCAUAAAUCGACCGGUAAAUUGAGAGCUUUGCCUUUUGGCUCAGCUCUCUCUUUACCACGACGGACCGGUACAAAGUCCGCAUUACUGCCGACGCUGCACCGAUCCGCCUGUCGAUCUCGCGCUCCAUCCUCCCCUCACUCGUGAACAAGACCCCAAGAUACUUAAACUCCUCCACUUGGGGCAGGAUCUCAUCCGCGAUUCCACCCUUUUCCGAUCGAGGACCAUGGACUCGGAUUUGGAGGUGCUGACCCUCAUCCCGACCGCUUCACACUCGGCUGCGAACCGCUCCAGUGAGAGCUGGAGAUCACGGCCUGAAGAAGCCAACAGCACCACGUCGUCUGCAAAAAGCAGAGACGCGAUGCUGAGGUCCCCAAACCGGACACCCUCAACGCCUCGGCUGCGCCUAGAGAUUCUGUCCAUAAAAAUUAUGAACAGAAUCGGUGACAAAGGGCAGCCUUGGCGGAGUCUAACCCUCACUGGGACGAGUCCGACUUACUGCCGGAAAUGCGGACCAAACUCUGGCAUCGGUGAUACAGGGACCGAACCGCCCUUAUCAGUUGGCUCGGUACCUCGUACUCCCGAAGCACCCCCCACAGAACCUCCCGAGGGACACGGUCGAACGCCUUCUCCAAGUCCACAAAACACAUGUGGACUGGUUGGGCGAACUCCCAUGCACCCUCAAGGAUCCUGCUGAGGGUGAAGAGCUGGUCCACUGUUCCACGGCCAGGACGAAAGCCACACUGUUCCUCCUGAAUCCGAGGUUCGACCUCCCGACGGACCCUCCUCUCCAGCACCCCUGAAUAGACCUUACCAGGGAGGCUGAGGAGUGUAAUUCCCCUGUAAUUGGAACACACCCUCCGGUCCCCCUUCUUAAAGAGGGGAACCACCACCCCAGUCUCAAUCCAGAAGCACUGUCCCCGAUGUCCACGCGAUGUUCUGCAAAUUGAAAGAGGAAAUUUAAGAGGAGACUGUCGUUCAGAUCAAAUAAGGUGUGCAAGAAGUUAAGUUACAUAUACGGUAAAUAAGUUUGGAACUUACGUGUGUAUUAAGUUACAUAUACGGUGAAUAAGUUUGCAACUUACGUGUGUAACGUGUACGGUAAAGUCAGGGACUUGCGCGUACUAAGGAUAGGUCAGGGACCUAGUGCUUCGUCGUGGCAGACAAGGGUGCGGUGACGAUCGCAUUCAAAUAGCUGGGGUGCUUGUAAGAUCCCUGAGGAGAAGUGAGGCCUCCUCAAAAAGUAUCCGGUGAUAACAGUUCCUCCUGUGAGAGACCAGACCGCUAAAAUAUCCUAAAUGUGCAACCAAAUUGGGGGGAGUGUGUGUGUGAUGAGAAGAAUGAAUGGAGUGAGAUUGAGAGGAAUGUAUGCUGAUGUGGAAGCGCAAAUCGUGAGCUACAUGAGAGAUGGAUUCGAAUCCCUUUGUCUGUGUGUUCUGUGUAUGUAAGUAGUCUCUGUAAAAGUUUGUGUCAGUCUGUCGUCGUUUGUCUGAGCUCUGUGCGAGCACUUUGUGUAUUGGCGUGCGUGCGUGCGGAUGCGUGUGUGUAUGUGCGGUUGUGUGCGCGCUCGGUGUGUGUGCGUUUAUGUGCACACCCUGUGUGGGUGCGGGCGUGUGAAGAGGAAGAUGGGAUGGAUCAGAGAAUGUUCAAGAAAGGAGGGGGACCGUUCGGCUCCAAAGCGUGGAAUGGCGCUAUCCCGGCGAGAGUGGGGGCCAGCGGGACGCGCGGGCCUGGCCAGAUUGUGACGUCAACAUUGAUACGCUGACCCUAGUAGGUGAUGACUGUGUUUAGAUAAGUAGACUGUUUUAUCAAAGAAAUGUGAGAGUGAAGGAGGAGGUUUGAUUUGUAAUCUGGCAUUUGGGUGCCAUUUUUAAGAGUCUGUGCAGAAGCAUAAAUUGUUUUUGGUUGCUUUUAAAUAUAUAUUUAAGUUUAUUUCGGUGCAGUAAGGAUAUAGCAGUUUUGAAAGACUUAAAAUUGAAAGCAAAAUUACAUUUUAAUUCUGACAUAUGCCAGCUAACAUGAGGAUGACAAAUAAAUAAAUGAAUAAAUACUAUAGCUCAAAUGUGGCAUGUGUUUUAAAUUGGGCGAUAAGACAUUCACUUUCAAGCACUAUCAUUUAGCGCUGCUGACAACAAUAACUUAUGAGAUGGUAAAUGAAGGAGUGUCAUAGUUGGAACACAGGCGCUGUAUGACCUAGAGAUUGAACAAUAACAUUCACCGCAUAUGUUGGUAGAUUGUUAAAAUAUAUUCCAGUUUAUUACAAAAGAUUUCGGAACUUUAUUUGAUGAUACACUGGAACGAGGAUUUUAGCCGUGUUAAUGGGUAGAGUGGAUGGAUUGCUCAGAAGAAAAAAAAGAGAGCAUUUGAUAAGGGCGGCUUGAUAGUAAGAUGAUGAGUGUGCGCAACUGAUAGGAUACAAAAUUUUAAUAGGAAGAUUUGGGGUGUAAGGAACAAAUACUACACAGGAAGACUGAUAACACGAAGAUAGUUUUGUUAAAUUUGUAUCCCUAGCGCGUGGCACGAUUCCUGAACUGAGUCCUCUUACUCCACUGGCUGUCUCAAAAUCAACAGAGGACUGUCCCUGGUCAUGAGACACCUUUGACCUUUGGGAGAACAACAGGAACUACUAUCAUGCUUGAAGGGGGCAAGCACAGCUCUUCACAGGACAAGAACCAUACAGUUGGUGGAAUAAACACAGUUGCAGAUCAAAAAGAAAAUGGACUGAAAGAACAAAGACAAGAUGGACGAGUGGUAAAAUAGAAAUGGGUGAGUAGGUUUCAAUUUGUAAUUGUGAUAUACAAAGGUUUUCUUUUCCAAAUUCACUUGUUUUUAAGCUUUAACAGGACAUGCCAGAAUUCAACUAGCAAUGAUGGAAGGAGCAGAGGAAGACCAGUGACAUCUGGUUGUGGUGUGGUGACAACAAAUUAUAUCAUCGCUUCCCAAAGGAUGCAUCAGGAAUCUGUGCCCUCAUGUCUUUGAUAAUGCCUAUGGUGGUUGUCCCCAUUGAAAUGCAGAAUCUCAAUUGGAACAUGGAGUCCUCACUGGCGGGGCUCCCGAAGCGAGCCAAAAGAGACGUUUUGCCCACAUGGUUGAGCGACAACGAUCCAACAUAUAUUGACGCCAUAGGAGUGCCCCGGGGUGUGCCAGAUAAGUAUGAACUCGUUAAUCAAGUGUCCUCGGGAUUCUAAAGCAUUUUCCUAUGGAUCACCCCCAAUAAAAAUGUAUCACUUGCAGCGGUCCAUGAACAAUUGCCAUUGAUGUUGUUCCAAAAUAGAAUCGCGUUGGACAUGCUAUUGGCUAAGGAACAUGGUGUGUGCGGAAUGUUUGGUGAUGCAUGUUGUACUUUCACCCCCAACAACACGGCACCAGGGGGCCGACUGACCCAGGCAUUGGAAGGACUAAGGACACUGAAUAAAAAGAUGAAAGAUCAUUCAGGUGUACGCACCGAUAUUUGGUCUGAUUGGAUGAAAACGUUCGGAAGCUGGAAAGGCCUCAUCAUGUCUGUGCUCGUUGCUGUGGCUUUACUGCAGUGAUGAUUUUCUGUGGUUCUUGUUGUAUUCCAUGUAUUAGGUCACUCACUGUCCGGUUGAUCGAGAAAACCGUUGGCCCGUUGUCACCGAAUGGCCAAUAUACCCUGGUGACUCAACAUGAACCGCGGGGGGAAGAAAGGACCGACAGUGUGCUGGUCGCUGCUUGCUAGAGUAACGGGUGAUGACCUCAUAAAUGAGGUCAUGAGAGGGAAUAAAGGGAAAUGUACUUUCGGCAGUUUACAAACACAUUUGAUGAAGGCUGCGUUAGACACAUAUAAUCAUAUCAAUAUAAUUUCUAGUAGUUGUGUGGUCGCUUAAUAAGUGGAAAGGAAUGUACAGACUACAUGAAUUUGUUUUCUUCAAAGUAUUGUGGAACAGGAUGUCCAGAAAGGGAAGAUAUCUCAAGGCCGAUGGGGAACGCGAAAAACAACGAUGACCAUCGACCAAUCACCACACAAUAUUUUGCAUGCUUGAAUAUUCAUAUUGUGUUUCUUUAAAACUGGGCAACCCGGAAGAAUGUGUUGUCUUUGAUGGUCACGAAGGCACACGAGUUUUUGUGUUAAGGACCCGAGGCCCAGGCGCCUGUAUUAGCUUGCUUUGUCAGGAUUAAACAAUUGGUAAAUUUGGCCUAAUUGAU